AAGAGGAGUGGAGAGCGGCAGCCAAGCUGGAGAGCCUCCAGCCUGACCACCUUUCCCCACGAGCACUGCAAGUUUUGAAAAGGUCGGAGCCGCAUCGCAGUCAACAAAGGGUGUUCAGAAGUGCUGCGGAGGAAAAGCGGCUGCAGCAAGAGCAGCAGCGGCUCCCCUGCGCUAGAUGCUGGUACCGCAACGGAGGGGAAGGUGCUGGGAAUGCUGAAGGCAGCAGCGGAGCUCUGAGCAAAGGGGCUGGGAAGCUCUCCCGCUUUCCACCCCUGAAUGGAAAAUAAAGAGCACAGCCAGACU